rnacentral:tmRNA from 1 species
GGGGCUGACUGGAAUUGACAGUAGAGGAUAGCAGGUCAGUAAGCAUGUCGGAGCAAGAUUGUUCACUCCGUUAACAAAUGAUGAUCGAAACUUUAAGUGGCGAAAAUUCUUUCGCGAUCGCUGCCUAAUCAGAGAUUAGAAUGCGUUUGUGCCCUGCGCUUGAUACCUGAUACACAGCGUACCGCACAUCAACCCAAAACCUCAGGUUAGCUUAAAGUAGGGCCUCGACCUUGAAGCGAAAAUUUAGAGGAUAAGGUUUUGAGAGGACUGUACUGGAUCCGAUCAAAGCACGAAUAAAUCAAUCCAGAACUAAACAUGUAGAAAGCUUUCAGGCACUUUAUCUGGACGAGAGUUCGAAUCUCUCCAGCUCCACAA